UGGGGAAUAUUGGACAAUGGGCGCAAGCCUGAUCCAGCCAUGCCGCGUGAGUGAUGAAGGCCCUAGGGUUGUAAAGCUCUUUUGUGCGGGAAGAUAAUGACUGUACCGCAAGAAUAAGCCCCGGCUAACUUCGUGCCAGCAGCCGCGGUAAUACGAAGGGGGCUAGCGUUGCUCGGAAUCACUGGGCGUAAAGGGUGCGUAGGCGGGUCUUUAAGUCAGGGGUGAAAUCCUGGAGCUCAACUCCAGAACUGCCUUUGAUACUGAGGAUCUUGAGUUCGGGAGAGGUGAGUGGAACUGCGAGUGUAGAGGUGAAAUUCGUAGAUAUUCGCAAGAACACCAGUGGCGAAGGCGGCUCACUGGCCCGAUACUGACGCUGAGGCACGAAAGCGUGGGGAGCAAACAGGAUUAGAUACCCUGGUAGUCCACGCCGUAAAACGAUGAAUGCCAGCCGUUGGGGAGUUUACUCUUCAGUGGCGCAGCUAAACCUUUAAGCAUUCCGCCUGGGG
rnacentral:rRNA from 1 species